GAGGGUAUAGCUCAGUGGUAGAGUGUGUGCUUGGCACGUACAAGGUCCUGGGUUCAAUCCCUAGUACUUCCA
rnacentral:tRNA from 1 species